rnacentral:rRNA from 1 species
GACGAACGCUGGCGGCGUGCUUAACACAUGCAAGUCGAACGGAAAGGCCCUGCGUUUGUUGGUUGCUCGAGUGGCGAACGGGUGAGUAACACGUGAGUAACCUGCCCUUAACUUUGUGAGAACUUCAGGGAACUGGGGCGAAUACCGGGUAGAAUCUCCUGCUGCAUGUUGUUGAUUGGUAAAUUUCGGCGGUUGGGGAUGUACUCGCGGCUUAUCAGCUUGUUGGUGGGGUAGUUGCUUUCCAAGGCUUUGACGGGUAGCCGGCCUGAGAGGGUGAACGGCGACAAUGGGACUGCGAUACGGAGCAGAAUGCUACGGGAGGCAGCAGUGGGGAAUCUUGCACAAUGGGGGGAAGCGUGAUGCAGCAACGCUGCGUGCGGGAUGAUGGCCUUCGGGUUGUAAACAGAUUUCGAAUGUGACGAAGCGUGAGUGACGGUAAUGGGUCAAGAAGCACCGGCUAACUACGUG